UACGUAGGGUGCAAGCGUUGUCCGGAAUUAUUGGGCGUAAAGAGCUCGUAGGCGGUCUGUCGCGUCGGCUGUGAAAACUCGGGGCUCAACCCCGAGCCUGCAGUCGAUACGGGCAGACUAGAGUCCGGCAGGGGAGACUGGAAUUCCUGGUGUAGCGGUGAAAUGCGCAGAUAUCAGGAGGAACACCGGUGGCGAAGGCGGGUCUCUGGGCCGGAACUGACGCUGGAGGAAGCGAAGGCGUGGGAGGCGAACAUG
rnacentral:rRNA from 1 species